GACGUAGGGGGCCAGCGUUGUUCGGAAUUACUGGGUGUAAAGGGUUCGUAGGCGGUGCGGCAAGUUGGGAGUGAAAUCUCUGGGCUUAACCCAGAGGCUGCUUCCGAAACUGCUGUGCUUGAGUGUGGGAGAGGCGCGUGGAAUUGCAGGUGUAGCGGUGAAAUGCGUAGAUAUCUGCAGGAACACCCGUGGCGAAAGCGGCGCGCUGGACCACUACUGACGCUGAGGAACGAAAGCUAGGGGAGCAAACAGG
rnacentral:rRNA from 1 species